rnacentral:rRNA from 1 species
CACGCCCUAAACGAUGUACACUAGAUCACGGAGGCUCUCACGCCGCCGGGGUCGAAGAAAAAUUGAUAAGUGUACCGCCUGGGGAGUACGGUCGCAAGAUUAAAACUCAAAGGAAUUGACGGGGGCUCACACAAGCGGUGGAGCAUGUGGCUCAAUUCGAAGCAACGCGAAGAACCUUAUCCUGGGCUUGACAUGUAUGGAUUAGGUGGCCGAAAUGUCACUGAGGCCCUCACGGGUACAACAUACACAGGUGC